UUCUAACGUGGACCCGUGAUCCGGGUUGCGGACAGUGUCUGGUGGGUAGUUUGACUGGGGCGGUCUCCUCCUAAAGAGUAACGGAGGAGCACGAAGGUUGGCUAAUCCUGGUCGGACAUCAGGAGGUUAGUGCAAUGGCAUAAGCCAGCUUGACUGCGAGCGUGACGGCGCGAGCAGGUGCGAAAGCAGGUCAUAGUGAUCCGGUGGUUCUGAAUGGAAGGGCCAUCGCUCAACGGAUAAAAGGUACUCCGGGGAUAACAGGCUGAUACCGCCCAAGAGUUCAUAUCGACGGCGGUGUUUGGCACCUCGAUGUCGGCUCAUCACAUCCUGGGGCUGAAGUAGGUCCCAAGGGUAUGGCUGUUCGCCAUUUAAAGUGGUACGCGAGCUGGGUUUAGAACGUCGUGAGACAGUUCGGUCCCUAUCUGCCGUGGGCGCUGGAGAACUGAGGGGGGCUGCUCCUAGUACGAGAGGACCGGAGUGGACGCAUCACUGGUGUUCGGGUUGUCAUGCCAAUGGCACUGCCCGGUAGCUAAAUGCGGAAGAGAUAAGUGCUGAAAGCAUCUAAGCACGAAACUUGCCCCGAGAUGAGUUCUCCCUGAGACUUAGAG
rnacentral:rRNA from 1 species